CGCGGGGUGGAGCAGCCUGGUAGCUCGUCGGGCUCAUAACCCGAAGGUCGUCGGUUCAAAUCCGGNAGGUCGUCGGUUCAAAUCCGGCCCCCGCAACCA
rnacentral:tRNA from 1 species